rnacentral:tRNA from 1 species
GUCUAGAUAGCUUAGUUGGUAGCGCGUCUGCCUUGUAAGCGCUAGGCCGCGGGUUCGAUUCCCGCCUGGGGCG